AGGAAACAAUUGUCCUAGUGAGAAGAAACAGGUUAAAAGGAGGGGCCAAUUUAGGGUGCCAAAUGCCAGCAAGAAGACAUCCUUCACUGGCAUUUUGAGGACAGAUUCCUGGGUUGCCAUGGAUACGUUCUGUGUCUCCAUAUUGGCCACCAACAAGCCACCGAAUUUCAUGCUGGGGACCAGCACUAAGCCUAAUAGAAGAUUCCUACAGCCGAGCGCCAGAGCAGUCUACAAAUCAAGCUAUCCAGGGCUGGGGAACCCGCAGUCUGCAUGCGGUCAGUUCUACUUUUGUGGUCUUCUGAACAACCCCAGAUCAUAUUGACAAAUUCAGUGGCAAACAGUGGAUUUUUCUGUAGUAUAAUUUUACCAUAAUUGGAAUUGUUGGAUGCUUCAAAGCUUAGUGAAGAAUGCUGAAUUGGAUGGUCAUGAUCCAGUAUAAAGCACCAUCAGAGGAUAACGUGGAGCCUGAAUGUGCACAUUUGAAACAAUGUAUUUUGAUUGGGUAAAAAGUUAUGGUGAAAAUGGUGUAUCAGUUUUCUAACAGUAGAUGGCAACAUGCAUUCGUAUCAGCAAGAAAUAACAUCACAGAAUUUGCUUGUAAGAUUGAAAAUAUAAACAUUUAUAGGACUGAAGUGGAUUUAAUGCUUAAACCCAGUUUUGUGAUCAAUUUGACAUUUAAUCCUUUAUGUAUUUGUAACUACAGCCUAUGGAGAGCUCAGAAUUUUUUUUUUUUUACAGUAUCUAAAACUAUUAUGUCUGUUUAGAAAUGUAUGAGUAUCAGUUAAGUUACACAAAUACAUUGCUAUGCAGCUCUACUUCUGACCUGUGAAAUGGACAAAUAUUUCGAAGCAUACAUUCUUGCUGAAUUUUAAGAUGCAGACAUACUAGAUUAGAAGAUGUUCCAAGUACUUUGUUCCUAAGCUCAUUGAAUGCAAUAGGAUUAAGGCAGGUAUUACUUAUUCCUCCAACCCCUAUUUUCGAUUGCAUGAAGAUUGUGGCUGCUUAUUACUGGCAUUUACAGACUGCCAUAUCCUAAGGUCUUUCAGAAGUUUACAAGAAAUGAUAUACAAUAAAAGUAUACAAAUAAAAGGUCCAUAAACUAAUAGAAAUGUAGAAUAAACCAGACUAUAAACAAACUAAGAUGGAAUCAGGGCACAAAUGGUUUCCAGAAGAGCUUUCUUGGGACCCAAUUGCAUGUCCCCUGGGAGAUUGUUUCAAAGGGCCAGUAUGGCCAUUGAAACGCGGUACUACAAAGCUUUAUCUCCCCCCAACACCGGCCCCAAAGUGGGGCACUGGUAAUGGUUUCUGGUAAGAAAAUCGAGCCAGCUGGGUCAAUUCCAAUGGGAGAAUAUAAUUCUGUAGAUAACUAGGCCUCAAGCCAUGAAGGACCUUUUAGGUUAGCAUCAGCCCUUUAAAUUGCACCUGUUGGCAACCACUGCAGAUACAAUGUGCUCCAGUCAGUGUCAGCAUAUAGAUAAUUGUACUCAAUCAACUGCAGCUUCUGAGUGAUAUUAUUUGUUUUAUUUGAUUGGCUGCCCAUCUCAAGUAUGUGACUGGGUGACUCAACGUCUUCAAAAGCAGCCCAAUGUAGAACAUGUCGCGGUACUCUGGGUAGCAAGUUGUUAUAGCAAGGUUCUCUUGGCCCAGGUAAAGCUACAAUUGGCAUGCCAGCCAAAGCUGGGGAAAGGCGAAAGAAUCAUUAGAUUUGCAUGCUAUUGGUUUGUCCAAUUUGGGAAUGAUUUAGGAUGCAAAACCAAAGUUCAGAUGAUGUAUAAAAAUAUGGCAAGGAAGCAGGAUACCCUUGCUAUAAGUAUGGGAACCGACUGUUAUCUUUGCAGAAGCAAGUGUUAUUUGAAUUGCUUCUGUUUUAUGGUUAGAGGGUAGUCUGUGAUAAAUUACACACUUAGGUUACAGGAGAGCUUUUCAUGAUCUAUAUCAAGAAUGGAGGAUUUCUGGCCUGUUGGUCUUCAAAGUCCCUUCUGUAAACCAGCC